rnacentral:rRNA from 1 species
UACAGAGGGUGCAAGCGUUGUUCGGAAUUAUUGGGCGUAAAGGGCGCGUAGGCGGUGCUGUAAGUCUGUAGUGAAAUCUCUGGGCUCAACUCAGAGUCUGCUAUAGAAACUGCAGUGCUGGAGUGUGGGAGGAGGUGAGUGGUAAUUCCCGGUGUAGCGGUGAAAUGCGUAGAUAGUCGGGAGGAACACCUGUGGCGAAAGCGGCUCACUGGACCACAACUGACGCUGAGGCGCGAAAGCUAGGGGAGCAAACAGG